rnacentral:rRNA from 1 species
UACGUAGGGUGCAAGCGUUGUCCGGAAUUAUUGGGCGUAAAGAGCUCGUAGGCGGUUUGUCGCGUCUGCUGUGAAAACUCGGGGCUUAACCCCGGGCCUGCAGUGGGUACGGGCAGACUAGAGUGCGGUAGGGGAGACUGGAAUUCCUGGUGUAGCGGUGAAAUGCGCAGAUAUCAGGAGGAACACCGGUGGCGAAUGCGGGUCUCUGGGCCGAUACUGACGCUGAGGAGCGAAAGCGUGGGGAGCGAACAGG